CGAAAAUCUUAAACCCUAAAAAGGAGAAGACUGUGCGGCGGAGUGAGGCGGAGUCGGAAGAGGUUUCCUUGGGAGUGCAAAGAGGUUGCGACUACUUAAAUAUUGAGGCCGAAGUUCUCAUUUGGCGAAAUCGCGAGGGGAGGAUUGUGUCUGGAGUGCGGUGGAGUGAGACGAAGUCAGGAGAGGUUUUCUUGGCAUGUGAAUAGAUUGCGGUUGUGGCCAAAGUUUUGGUUUGGCAAAAAGGUGUGUAUGGUUUAUUUUAUUUUAUUUGUGUGGUCGUUUUUUGAAUGCAUUGGUGUUGUGGCCGUUUUGGUUUUGAAUGCAUUGUUUAGGUUUAGGGUUUAUUUUGAGAAAUGUGUAACAGGACAUGAUGAAUGUGGGUCAUUUUUUUAAUAACCUGCCUUGUCGAAGUGGUAAAGCUUUGUGUUUGGAAGUGUUAUAUCCAUGAAUGACAAUGAUGUUGUACGUAGCUUGUUGCUUAGGAACACCAAAAUUGUCAGUAGUGUAAGGUGAGGACCACCAAUGCAUCCACAUAUUUUAGGAGGUGGGGGUUUUAUGCCUUGUAAACCAACCGAAGGAGAAUGAACACCAAUGACACUGAUACUGGAAUCACCAUUGGUCGAAGAAGACUGCAACAUCAAACUUAUGAUCCUUCAAUCAAGCAAUAUUUAAAUAGUGUUGUACCUUUUUUACCAAUUUAUAAGUAUUUUUUAAUAAUUAGGAAAUGAGAAAAGUAAUCUAUAGUGUUUCUAGUGUUGUACCCAAACAAAGGUGUUUUCGCAUGUGAAAGUUUAUCUUAAUAUGGUGCAAGGCGAUAUUUUUGUGAGCCUUGUAUAUUAUGUCUUUUUCUUUCCCUUUAUUUUAUUUUUUUUGCAUCGUCCCUUCUCCAAAUGUUUUACUUUAUAUUUUUUUUUAAGUUAUAGUACAUACUUCACCUCUGUAAUGAUUAAACUACAUCAUAAGCGUAAGUAACUUAAGUAUGUGGUUUGUGUAGAUAAGUGGUGACCCGUGUUAGAAUAUAUGACCUUAAACAAGAGAGGGGGUGAAUUGUUUAUAAGAUAUUUUCGCAAACUUUGAAGGUAUAAUGAAAUUCAAUGCCGAAUUACAGAGAAAAGAAUCAAGGAAACAAAUACCCAAAACUGUUUUAAGAUGUUAUCAAAAAAACAAUCGGUUGUUUUGUCGAAACAAUCGAUUGUUUUCAUCAGCAAUUAAUAAAAACAACUUAAAACAUAUAUUUGUGAGAUCAGGGAAAGAGAGAAUCACACAAACAGAUUUAUACUGGUUCACUCUUACACCAAGAGCUACAUCCAGUCCCCAGAAACCACUAGGUAAAUCCACAAUGAAAUCAAAACCAGAUUACAAACAUCACACACCAAAGUAGUGACCUUGAACCCCUCAAGAAACACACUACCUUUGGCAAACCACACCAAGAAUGUUGAUCUUUAACACCUCAAGAACACACAACAGUCCUUGGCAACACAACUACAGAAAUACAAUAAUCAAUGAAGAAGGGAAUAGAAUACACCUAGGUACUACAAAGCUUAAAGUUCAGAAUUACAACCCAAUCCUAUUACACACACUUAAGAAUGAUCCAAAGCUCUUUCAAAUCUUGGAAAAACUGUUUUGAUAAACUCUUUCUCUUACUUCAAGAUUAGGAGUGUAAAACCACCUUUAUAUAGACCAACCAAGUGGUCAAAAGCAUUUAAUAAAGGAGCCAAGGUAAUUAGGAUCAUUUAAACCAUAUUAAAACCACUUAACAUAAUUCUGUUAAGGUUUACAAGAAAACAAUCGAUUGUUUUGUUGAAAUAAUCGGUUGAAUUGACUUAACAACAAAAUCAAGCUUUUCAAAACCUUUUCAAAAACUGCUAAGGUAAAACAACCUGUUGUUUCGAAAUUUCAACCUGUUGAAACUACUAAGGUAAAACAACAUGUUGUUUCAAAAACAACCUGUUGAAGUUUCAACAAUACUUUAGAAAACUCAUCUUUUCAAAAGGUUAAAGAUUCAAAUUAACUUGGAUCAUCUUAAGGAGUGAAUUAACAAGUUUCAAACAACUAGACAACACACACACCCAACAACAAGGUCUUCAAGCUUUCCUCUUGGAUUUGGAGACAUCAAAGCAUCUUAUUCAACAAUCUCCCCCUAUUUGAUGAAGACAAAUCCCUGAUUUAUUUGUGUUGUUGUUUUUAAACUUGAAAGGUCCUGCAAAAUAAAAUUUGUGCAUAUACAAAGCAAGUAUAUCAGCAGGAUACCAAGGCACACAAAACCAGUUUUCUGCAUAAGCCUUUAAGCAGAAAAACCAGUCAUAUAGCCAUAAAAACCAGUGCCAAAAUGAGACUUGUGUGCAACAGAACUAUGGUGAAUAAGAGCAUGGUAGCAACAGAAUUUAAACCAUGAUAAAACCAAAUAACACCAGAGUGUAGCAGCAGCAUUACAACACAUAAAACCACACCAUUCUCCCCUAUUUGUCUUCACAAAUAGAAUGAAAGGGAUAAAAACAGAAUAACCUGUUUGCAUAAGUGUUUUCCAGCAUUGAAAACCAGCAUAUAGCAGCAACAUAAUAAACCAUAAAACCAGUGUGUGUAGUAGCACCAUUGCAGCAACAAAUCUUUGAUACCAUAUCAGAAUUGUAGCAAAAUUUAUGGUGUAUUACAGCUAUGACAACAGUAAAAUCAAAGUACCAUAGACCCCAGAAAUUUCAGCAAGGCGACCACAGUUUCUCCCCCAAUCUUUUCUUCAUCCAGCAAUUCAAGUUGGUCAAAUGAUUGCUCAAGAGGUGGAUUUGGUAGAAAUAUUCUUUCUUAUGUUAAGAGCAAACCUUACCGACGUUCCAAAGAUACAUUCUCAAAUAUUCAUCAACUCCAUGACCACCAAUGUGGUUGCCAUUCAUAAAAAGCUUUGAAUUUCAAGGAAAACAAAGAAUAUAUCUCUUUAUGAUCUAAUUCAGAGGCACAAUGAAUGCAAAUUUGACUCAUAAUGGGUUAUGAAAGAAAAUAAACAAUUGUAAUCAUACAUAAGAAAUCAUAACAACUUUAUUCAAAUGUACUAGAGGUAAAACAAUCGGUUGUUUCGUGAAAACAAUCGGUUGUUUCGUGAAAACAAUCGGUUGUUUUUCUGAGACAACAAGAAAAUGUUAUUUUUCAAAGCAAAUCAUCUUUCAAAGUGAUGGGAAAUGCAUAAUGAAAUACAUUCAUACCUUUGCUUUACCUCAAGCAUGUUUAGAAUUUCAUUUGGCCUUAUGAAGCCAAAAACAUAGGAUGAACAUAUACAACUUACUUUACAAAGGAUGAACAUAUACAAGUUACUAAGCCUCUCACACCAUACUGCCUUGGAGCUUGCUUAAGCCAAUACAAUGCCUUUUUCAGCUUGUAUACAUGGUUAGGAUGUUGAUGAUCUUCAAAGCCUAGUGGUUGUUCAACAUAGACUUCCUCAUUGAUGAUUCCAUUAAGGAAAGCACACUUAACAUCCAUUUGAAACAAUUUGAAUCCACUCAUAUAAGCAAAGGCCAACAACAACCUUACAGCUUCUAAUCUUGCAACUGGAGCAAAGGUUUCACCAUAAUCUAUGUCUUCUUCUUGAUUAUAACAUUUAGCCACAAGCCUUGCCUUAUUUCUUGUAAUUACUCCAGAUUCAUCCAGCUUGCUUCUGAAAACCCAUUUGCAUUCAAUGAUGUUCUCCACUGAAAGAUCCCUUGGAAUUCUCCAUUCCUUUGGCAGCUCUUCUUGUUGCUGAAUUUCAACCAGUUGUUUCGCAGAAUCAAUCGGUUGUUUUUCUGGACAGGAUUCCAGCUUCUCCAAGGUGAUGUUCUGCUCAUCUUCUUCUGCAUGAACCUUUGUAGAACCCUGAUCACUAUGAAUGAUUUCAUCAAACACCAUAUGGACAGAGUCCUCCACAGUUAUAAGCCAUCAACAACACCAGAUCAAACUCUUUAUUCUUGAAGUUUCUUUACAUAGGUCAUGAAUUUUGACUUGUCAAGAAUACGAGUAAGGUGUAUAUGCUCUUGAACCAUAAGCAUCACUUUGAUCAUUCUUCAUCAUAGCACCUGUACUUGAAAGGUCCUGUAACAUAGAAUUGAUGCAUAUACAAAGCAAGUAUAGCAGCAAGAUAACAAGACACACAUAAACCAGUUUUCUGCAUAUACAACAUUAGCAGAAAAACCAGAAAAAUUGAAGUAAUCAAGUGGUUUCAAAUGCAUAGAAGCAACAACAUAAUGCAUCAGUUUUUAAAACUAUCUUAUACAACCAAAUCAAGCAUAAACAACUCCCCCUAUUUGCUCUCACAAAUAGAAUAUGAGAAGGGUUGUACAAAGCAGAAAUCAGAAUGAUAAUAUAGUAGACCAGCAGUACAAACAAUGUUGACAUUUCAAUAAUAGAAAAUGAUAUAGAGCUUUUAAGAAAACAAGUGGAUAUAAUCUUUUAUUAUCAGAUUCUGAGGCACAUUCAAUGUAUAUUUGUCCAAAAGCAAGAUUUGAAAUAAGAGGAAUGGUUUAAUCAUGCAUAAGCAAACUUGGCAGCAUUAUACAAAGGUGCCAGAGGAAAAACAAUCGGUUGUUUUACUGUGACAACAAAAAGAACAUUUUUCAUAACCAAAAAUUACCUUUUAAAUUGAUGAAAAUGCAGUAUGCAAUUUGUUCAUACCUUUGCAUAGAGAACCCCAAUAGUUUCACUCAAAAAGAAGACUUUGAGAUGUUCAUAUGGUCACAAGGCACACUUACAUAAAUUGAGAAAUGAAAACACACAUAGUCUCUUUGAAGUUUCUUUUGAUCAACACUAUGCAUGUGCCAAGGAUGUCUCUUGACAUUCAAAGAACCCUGCAAGACAUAUACAAUUGAGAAGUGUAGGUACAAAGAUUGUAUUUGCUCUUGAUAUUCUUCCCUUUAGCAGUUAUUCUUCAAGCUCAAAAAUGACAAGAAAAGAUUUAAGAAGCAAGAUUUGUCCCCAUUAUGAAUUUGGGUCCAAUUAUGUUAGUAGAAGUCUUACGAACCUCAGAAACCUUAGGAACCCAUUUCAAAAUACCUUUAGGAACAAAAAACUUCCUAAUAUUUCAUAAUCUAACUGAGUGGCCUCUCUUCAUGCAAUAAAAACAUGUGACAACCGGUUGUUUUGAUUUUUCAAUCGAUUGUUUUUCUGACAGCUUUGAAAAAGACUUUGAAAACUCAGUUUUCUUACUCUGUGGAUUAAAACCUAAACCUCCUUUUCCAAAAACACAAUUUUGAGAUGCCAAGACAGUCUUAAAGUUGGAUUUACCCUUUGAAAGCCUAUCCACAGUUUUCACAAGGUAGUGAACCUUCUUUUCAAGAGAUUCACAAUUUUCACAAACAAGUGAGUCACACUUGCAAGAAGAGUUCAUGUAAAGCAUUUCUAGAUUUUCAAAAUCAGUUUUUGAAUUCUCCAACUCUUCUUCUAGUGCCUUGACUCUGUUUUCAAGCCAGAUAUUCAACCCUUUUAACCGAUUGUUCAAGAUUGUCAAUCGGUUAGCUUCCUCAUGUGUUUCUUUAAAAGCUUGAAGAAGUUGACUAUAAUUUUUAGCAUUUAAAGAAGGACAAGAACUUACACUACUUGCAUCAUCUUCUUCUUUGGCCAUCUAACACAGAUUGGCUUCUUUUUUAUUUUGCUUUCUUCUCCUUCUUGCUUGACUUGAUCCAGAUUCUUCUUUUGUCAUAAGACAAACCUCCUUUCUGGAUUCUGAAGAGAAAGAUACAGUAGAAGAUUCUUCUUUGUCCAUCAAGGCACUCCUUGGAUUCUUGUGAUACUCUUCAAGGGUAUUCCACAUUUCUUUGGCAGAAAUACAUUUUGAAACCUUGAGCAAUUCAUUAGAAUCAAUUGUAGAUACAAUGAUGUUCAUAGAUACACAAUCAAGAUGUUCUCUUUCAGAAGAAACAUUUUCAGAUAUAGGCAUGAGAUAGCUACUUGUAAUAACAUUCCAGAUCUUUCUAUCUAUAGAUUCAACAAAGAAUUUCAUUCUUAUGCACCACAAAUCAUAGUUCAUAUCACAGAACAAAGGUGGUUUGUUUAAUAACUUUCAAGAAUCAAGCUCUGAUACCAAUUAUUAGAAUAUAUGGCCUUAAAAAAGAGGGGGGGUGAAUUGUUUAUAGGAGAUUUUCACAAACAUUGAAGAUAUAAUGAAAUUCAAUGUUGAAUUACAGAGAAAAGAAUCACGGAAACAAAAACCCAAAAUUGUUUUAAAAUGUUAUCAGAAAAACAAUCGGUUGUUUUGUCGAAACAAUCAGUUGUUUUUAUCAGCAGUUAAUAAAAACAACUUAAAAGAGAUAUUUGUGAGAUUAGGGAAAGAGAGAAUCACAAAAAAAAAUUUAUAUUGGUUCACUCUUACACCAAGAGCUACAUCCAGUCCCCAAAAACUACUGGGUAAUCCACUAUGCAAUCAAAACCAGAUUAUAAACAUCACACACCAAAGUAGUGACCUUGAACCCCUCAAGAAACACACUACCUUUGGCAAACCACACCAAGAAUGUUGAUAUUGAACACCUCAAGAACACACAACAGUCAUUGGCAACACAACUACAGAAAUACAGUAAUCAAGGAAGAAGGGAAUAGAAUACACCUGGGUAUUACAAAGCUUAAAGUUCAGAAUUACAACCCAAUCCUAUUCCACACACUUAAGAAUGAUCCAAAGCUCUUUCAAAUCUUGGAAAAACUGUUUUGAUAAACUUUUUCUCUUACAUCAAGAUUAGGAGCGUAAAACCACCUUUAUAUAGACCAACCAAGUGGUCAAAAGAAUUUAAUAAAGGAGCCAAGGUAAUUAGGAUCAUUUAAACCAUAUUAAAACCACUUAAUAGAAUUUUGUUAAGGUUUACAGGAAAACAAUCGAUUGUUUUAUCGAAACAAUCUGAUGUGAUUCCACUAGCCAUAUGGAGAAUGAUUUUUGACAUUCUUAGGAAUCACCUUGAGCUGGACAUUAUUGAGGCACUUUUCUUAGAAUUGGAUCAUUGUUCUAAGACAAGAACUCACCAAAAACUAGUACCAAAUCCCAAAGUCAUUUGGAUGUUCCACAUAUUGUCAAAUUGAACCAAAAGAGAUGGAGGAAAGGCAAAAACACUAAUUAACAAAACAAAACAGUAAGGUACCGAAUCAAAUUGCUGGAAUUGAAGAAGAAAAGAUGAAAAACAACCAAGAACACAAAUGAACCAUAGCUACACAAUAACAAGCUGAAAUUGCCGAACCAAAACAACUAGGAAACAAGCUAAGACAAGGAAAUUAACAAGAGAAGAAAGGAAGGAGAAGAGAAUGCUCAUGAAGAUGGAAGAAAGGUUGGAUGAUCACGCCACUAGAAGUAUGGAUGCUCCUAGAUGAGUGUGCAAGCCGCCACUUGAUGAAACCAUGAUCCUUCAAGAUAAGACUAGAGAAUAAGGCUCAAAAGCUCUCCAAUGCUCACUCCAAUUUUGAGUAUAGUUUCUUUAGAUAAAUUCAAAUCUGAAAAAUACAAAGAGAGCACCUCUAUUUAUAGCCUAAGGUGCUGAAAUAUAAGCUACACAAAUUCAAAAACUCCCUCCCAAAAAGCUUCUAGAAUUUGCGCCUAAAACAAAGCAUGAGGAAGGUGUGACUUCUUCCUUCACUUUGGCACCUCCUUUUCUACUCCUACACCUAUCUACUAACACACCCCCCCUAAGACUCCUAACUAAAGACUAAAAGAUGCUUUAACAAUAGAGGUUUCUAAUGUUUCCCUCUAAGCUCCUUCAACAAUAUUCUUUAUUAUUUAAUACUUGGCCUUGCCCUUCAUAGGAAGGACUUGGGUUUGGGCUUGGGCUUUGGGCUUGGGCCUCUCUUUAUUUUAUGUCUUCUUUUAAUUUUGAGAAGACUAGAAGGAAGAACUUCAAGUGUGAUGGUGAAUUGCCUCUUCCUUCAUUAAUAAAAACCUCCUUUACUUGACUCUCAUCACAAUCGGUUGAAUUGACUUGACAGCAAAGUCAAGCUUUUCAAAAACUGCUAAGGUAAAACAACCUGUUGUUUCAAAAAUUUCAACCUGUUGAAACUACUAAUGUAAAACAACCUGAUGUUUCAAAAAAUAACCUGUUGAAGUUUCAACAACACUUUAGAAAACUCAUCUUUUCAAAAGGUUAAAGAUUCAAAUGAACUUGGAUCAUCUUAAGGAGUGAAUUAACAAGUUUCAAACAACUAGACAACACACACACACACCCAACAACAAGGUCUUCAAGCUUUCCUCUAGGAUUUGGAAACAUCAAAGCAUCUUGUUCAACAACCCGUUCCUUAUUAUGUGGAGAGCUGUGAAAAAAAAUUUGCACUGUCAUGUUGUAUUAGAAGUGAAUGUUAGGAUGUCCUAUGUUUUUGUUGUGUGAGCUUAUUGGGUGUUAGACUAUUGUUUAUUGUAAGGGUAGGUUGAAAUGUCGUAUGCAUAGGUAAGUGGUGACCUCUUUCAUUUUAUGUGGGGAUCUAUGAAGCACCUUUUGCACUGUCGUGUUGUGGUACAAGUGAAUGUUUGCAUGUAUUUUCUUGCUUUUGUUUUUUAUUAAAUGAAUUGUUUGUGAUGGUUUAGAGAAUGGAAAGUUCAUUGUCCAAGAAUUUUGUCUCAUGCAAAAGCUGAAUUGAAGGUACUUUUUUAGAUUGUGUUCAUAAUAGUUGAAUAUUUUGUGAAUUGACAUUGUUGAAUAAAUAAAGAUGGUGGUAUUGUUUUAUUUUGUGAUGUUGCAGCUAUGAGUUAGGCACAAUGUGCUUACUCAAUAUAUUGUUGAUGUGAACCGUAAGCUUAACAACUUUCAACAAGAAAGGAUACAACAAACUCCAUUUAAGUGGAUGGUUGAAAUGGACAAAUUUUUUGACAUUUCUAACAGCCUUAUGAGAGAGCUACUAAGUGGAUGGGCAUCAGAUAAUGAGGCAUUUAGGAUUCGAAAAAAGUUUAGUUCCUUUUUCAGUUGUUGAUAAUUUUUGUAGGUUAUACAUAUUUCUUGGGUUAUGUUUUUUUUAUGUUCCUGGGACUUCUAGGACAUUUAGUUGUUCUGCUUUUAAAUCUUUAGACCUUAGACAAUUUAAAUGCGCUAGAAUUAUAUAACUAGGGGGUGCAGUUUAUAAUGUCUUCUUACCUACAAGCUUGACGAGGGCAUCUGAAGUGUACUAUCAAGAAAACAAUGUUAGUGAAAUAUAUUUGACAAUUUGUGUUGUCGUCUUGCAGGUUAGUGAAUAUUUGUACAAUUAUGUUGUAUUAAUGAAUUGGUGAUUUUGAUUAAAUGUUAAUUACUUGUGUAUUAUUUUUUUAAAAAUAAGUGUGGGCGGUUCACCAUGUGAGUGUUGGUGACCAUGCCCAAUGUAUUGGUUUUCCACGAUUUUUGCACCGAAUGUGUGUAAAUAAUCAUGGAAGAAGGUUACAUGAAGUAUUUUUAUCUGUUGAGGUAUAUUUGUGGUUUGUUAAGUUUUUGGUGCAUGUUAUUGCAGUAAAUUUUGAGUAACUAAAAAAUAAUCAUUUUUUUUUUCAGAUUGUAUUGGAUUGGCUAGAAAUUGCUGAAAAGGAAGGAAUGAAAAUUGUGAAAGAAGCCUUAGCAGAUUCCGAUGAGGGGGUUGAGGAAGGUAGUGAUGGUACAAGUGAGUGGGACAACUUACUUGACCAACACAAACUUUGUGAGAAGAAAGUAGCAGAUAAUGAGAACGGAAUUGUUAAUGUGGAUAAGCAACUUAAAGAGGUCCGACAACUGCUUCUUAAAGAAAAGGAGUGGUCAGUUGGAUUCGUGCGUGGAGCCAACCCAACCUCUCAUGGUGCAACCUAUGGUGGUCCAAACUCAUGCAGUUUGGAUAUUUUGAAAAUGUAUAAAACAUUUUUUUUGCAUUCAAGUUUGACAUGAAAUGGUAAGUACAUAUACUGAAUGUGCAGCAUAAGUAAUUAUAGUCAUUACUUCAUUUGUUGUUAUUGCAUGAUUAAUGAGUUGGUGUUCAAUGUUGUUGUAGUGUCAUUGUGGACAUAAAAAAUAAUAUUUUAACGAGGUUGGAUUUCCAAUAAUUAAGGUCGCGGUCAAGAGAUGAAAACAUGGUAAAAAUUUACAUAUUGCAGUCUUUGAUGUAUUUACUUAUAAUAUUUACUUAGUUAUGUUGAAUGUGCUUGUAGGUUAUGUUAUUUAUAAUUGGGUUGUUAAAUCUGAAUCAAAUUGUUAAUUUUGGAGUGUUGAAUCAAUUUUCAUUCAAUCUGUCUUGCGGUCAGUGUUGAUUAAAAUUUAUUGUUAUUUGUUUUUUAAGUUUUUGGUAAUAGUAAUAAUAGAGUUUGUUGUUGCAGACUUGUGUAAUUGAGGAGAUGAACAUGAAUGGGGGAUAAAUUUCAUGGUGCAGUUCCGAUUACAUGUAAUUUUAUGGGAAUGGUUUAUUCCCAAACCAGGGAAUAUCUUAUUGUCAUUUUGUAAGUUUUGUGUGAAAUUUGUUGGUAUUGGUUAGAAUGGUCAUGUUGACUGUCAAUUUAAAUUUUGAAUUUUUUUGUAGGUGUUUGUGCCAACCGUGUUCAAUGAGCAUUGGUGGUUGUACGCACUCAAUUGUCGGGAGGCAAUUGCAUGUAUUGAACUCCAUUGGUGAUGGAAUUGAAGGUCGACAGAAGAUUGAUAAAG
rnacentral:lncRNA from 1 species